rnacentral:rRNA from 1 species
UACGGAGGGAGCUAGCGUUGUUCGGAAUUACUGGGCGUAAAGCGCACGUAGGCUGCUUUUUAAGUCAGGGGUGAAAUCCCGGGGCUCAACCCCGGAACUGCCUUUGAAACUGGAGAGCUAGAAUCUUGGAGAGGCGAGUGGAAUUCCGAGUGUAGAGGUGAAAUUCGUAGAUAUUCGGAAGAACACCAGUGGCGAAGGCGACUCGCUGGACAAGUAUUGACGCUGAGGUGCUAAAGCGUGGGGAGCAAACAGG